UUCAACAGUUUCACUUCACCUCCAUUCUUAAAAUGUCUUCAGUCUCGUCUUCCUAUACUAUUACAAAGUAUUUCCAUCACUUCGUCAUGGCAAAAAUCAGUCCCUGUUCCUUUAAGACGGUCUCCAAAGUUUAGCGUAGUCAACUUUGGCAUUUCCAUACCGCGAGCCUCUCCAGUGGCGGAGAAGGGAAUCUGAACGGCGGGAGAGACAGGCGAAUUUAAAACUGCACAUGAGCGCUUCAAUAUCAGGUGGAAGAUACAUACAGAAUCAUUGAAGAUGAACACAGAGGAAAAACAAGAGCUCAAGUCAUCACAAGAUGAAACGAUGGACGUUAGCAGCGCUGUGACAGAUGAGAGGCCACGGGCAGAGGAGGAGGAGGGAGGAGAAGAGGCAGGGCAGACACAGGGAGAGGAAGAGGAGGCCACAGAGAAGAACUCAGAGAGUGGAAUGGAGUGCUCGGAACCCACAGGAAACGAAGGAA